rnacentral:rRNA from 1 species
UACGUAGGGUGCAAGCGUUAAUCGGAAUUACUGGGCGUAAAGCGUGCGCAGGCGGUUUUGUAAGUCUGUCGUGAAAUCUCCGGGCUCAACCUGGGAAUUGCGAUGGAGACUGCAAGGCUAGAAUCUGGCAGAGGGGGGUAGAAUUCCACGUGUAGCAGUGAAAUGCGUAGAGAUGUGGAGGAACACCGAUGGCGAAGGCAACCCCCUGGGUCAAGAUUGACGCUCAUGCACGAAAGCGUGGGGAGCAAACAGG